GCCUCCUAUUAAAAAAAAAUGGCAAAAGUCCCCCCUCAUGUUUAGCUUCUUUUGCAAAAUCAAUUUUGACUUGGUCAAACCUAUGUGUCAUGCCACUUAACUUAAAAAAUUGUCAGCUGUGUAUUUUUUUAAUUAAAAAAAUGGAAAAGGCCACAUGUGUAUUUACAUAAUUAAAAAAAUGAAAAAUGAAAGUAUUAAUCGAAGAGAUUAUGCGACAUUCAUCUUCUUCACCUAAUUCCUUCAUCUUUUUCAUCCAUUUCUUUUUAAAAAAUGCAGAAUAUUACAUCACCACACCACCUCAACCUUCAUCUCCGAUCUUGUUCACCACCACCACCACCACCGCUAUUCUCCUAUCACCACCACAAGAUCGUCUCUAAUCUAUGUCUACAGCACCACCACCACCAUAUCAACCUUCUCAGAUUCAUCUCUACCCACCAACACCACUCUCAUCACCGUCCUCUCCACCACCGUAUCUCUCUACAUCCACUGCUGCUUGAGAGAGAUGAGUCUCAGUUCCGACAACCAUUGGUCACAACCACCAUUGUAACACUCCUAUUUCUAUUUAAACAAUUAAACAUGUGAAUAAUACAUUUAUUCAAGAAAUAGAGGCUACGCCACAUUCAAAAUUCAAAAACCAAUAAACAUGUAUAUAAACCUCAACAGUUGCAGCAGAAUAUAAACCAGAGUAAUCCAAAUAUGUACAUGUCAUGAAGCAAUAAAUUACAUCACAUAGAUGCAUCUCAAAAAUCCCAAACAAACGGGUAAUCUCCAACAAAACAAAAUCCAAAAAUAACCUAAUCUAGACCGACACAACAAGCCUAGAUCAGAGCCGACUCAAAACCGAUAUCGGAGAAAGCUCCCGAUAUCGCCAAGCACAACUCCUGCACAACGUCUACCCAUCCAUACAGACAGGUAGGCGGUUAAAACCAUUGGGGGUAAAUAUUACAUUAUCAUAAUCCAAAUAGCAGUUAUCAUGAAUAUUUCAAUUAACAUCAUGCAUUUGAUCAAUAAUAACCACACAUUAAUACUUACAUCACACCCCCAUAUCUCACAUCAAUAAUCAUCAAUCUCAUGAACAAUUAUCAAUUCACAAAUAUUCAUUCAUAAUUGCCAAUCACAAUUAUCAUGAAUAGUCAUUAAUCACAUUUCAUGAACAAUCACCAAUCACAUAUAUCAAUAAGACUCAUGUCAUAAUAUGCACUUAUUGACACAUAAAUGCAUGUGGUGUAUAUAUCAAAAGUUCAUUUUGGUCCUUCACAUGAACACUUAACUCAACUUCACCAAAUCAAACCACCACUUCACAAAAUGGAAUACCUAUGAUAUCAUUCAACAACAACAACAUAUCUAAUUCAACAACACUUCAUUUAGACAUGAAUUCAACCAUAAUUCAACAGCACAAUAUCCCAAUCCAACAAUUGAGCAAAAUUCAUAAGUACCCAUUUUCACCAAACCAACAACAACAAUUUAUUUCUCAACAACAAAUUAUGAAUCAUGCAUACCCAAGCCAUGAAUUAUCAUCAACCAUAUGACUAAACAACAACAACAACCAUUAAUCAUGAAACAUAUCACAAUUCAUCAACAAUCAUGCAUAAUUCACCAAUUGAGCAUAAUUUACAAACUACCCAUUUUCAUACAUCAUGAACUUGCAAUUUCAUCAUCAACAAUUCAUUAAUCAUCAAAUUAACAUAUUCAAACAUAUCUCUACAACAUAAGCACGAAUUUCAAAGAUUGGGUUCAUGAUAAUCACUUAUUCCCAUAAUCAAUUAUGCAUAGAACAAGAGAAAAAGAAUUAACUAAAUGAUUAUGAUAAAAACUAACCCCCCUUACCUUAAUUAUCUCCAACUAUUAGCUCUAGCUUCAUUUUUCUCCUAUGAUUCUUCAAACCCUUGAAUUCUUCAAGUUCCUCUUCUCUCUCUAACCAUUGUUCUUCUCUUCUCCCACUUUCUCUCUCUACCUCUCUCUAGAAAAUAUCUUAUGAAAUGAAUGAAGUGAUAUUCUCCUAAGACAACUCAUUAGGUAUAACCCUUAGUGGGCUUAACCCAUUUCUAUUCAAACAAAAAAAUAUUUCUACACUCCAAACGAUAUUUAAGUACUAACGGUAAAAUGUCACUAACGGUCACUAAACGGUAAAAUCUCAAUUUACUAUAGUAACUUAAUGAAAUAACUAUUCUCACUAAUCACUAAAAGUAAUUCUCACCCAAAAUUAUAAUUUUACCGUUCUCACAAAAUGACCAAAAUACCCCUAAGUCUAAAAUGACUAAAAUACCCUUAUAACACGGAAACCCAUGAAAAUGCACCCAAUGAUGAAUAAUCACACACAAACACAUAAAACACAUAAUAAAAGUAAUUAAAAUAAAUCUAGCUAAAAAUCGGGCUGUUACAACCACCACAUGUGAUACUCUCAAAUCUGACAACCACCAUCACUUACGACCUCCUACAACAACCAUCCUUUCCACCAUGUUUCGCCACAACUAGAUCAGGGAGAGAGAGAAAAGUCAGGAACGAGAAAGAGAAAAGAGUAAGAAUGCCAGUGUUGUUGUUGUUUAGUUGGACAAUUGAACCGGAUAAGAGGAGGAAAAUGAUAGAUGGAUUAAGUCUUUGGGAGAUGUAUUUGAUAGGGAUUGAAUACAAAUUUUGUUUCCUAAAAAACGUGAUGUUGUUGUUGGUGGUUUUCAUCUUGUUGAUGGGAACUUGAAUUCAUUGUUGCAAUAGAUGAGAUUGGGAAGGAAAAUAUAUGACAAAAAAAGAAGAAAAAGUUGCUUAUGGUUUCUCGCUGUUGAAGAAGGAAAAAGGGCAAAUGUUAUAGAAUUUCCUAAUAAUUGAAAAAGAAAUGUUAUGAAAAUUUUGAGAAGGAUACCAUGAACAUAUUUUUUGAAUGAAGAUGAAUGAUAAUGUAGUUGCUGCUAUUGUCGUGCUUGGUUCUCCCUCUUCCUUUUUUUAUUUUUUUUUAUUUUUAAUUUUUAUAUAUAUAUG
rnacentral:lncRNA from 1 species